CUCACAAAUAUCUCUCUCGAUCUUGACCGGCUGCCCUUCUUCUUUCACACCCAAACACAGACACAAACACACGUCCGUCUAACUCUCUCUCCCUCUCUUGAAUCUCUCCUCGCUCUUGGUCUCUCGGUCAGCUUCUAAAUUUUUGGUGAUCAAACUCUUCUCCAUGGUUUGACUUCUCCCCACAUGAAUGUAAGGUUCCAAAGUACUUGGUGAUGGACCUAGUAACUUGAUUGGUCAAAUGCAAUGCCCGAUUGAGGUAAAUUUGGAUUGGACUUUUGAGGUAAGUGGCUUAUUAAUGGGAUUUUAAAAAAAUGAAUCAUUAUUGCACUAAAGUAUUUUAUGGUUAAACCUAUUUUGGAACAUUAUUCAUGGUUUUCUUAAAAUGUACUAUGUGUACCAUUAUUGUUAAUCAUUUAUGGAAAACGCAUGAAGCGUUGAAAGUGCAUCAUAUUUCUUAUUACAUAUGGGGAAAUGCAUGAUUUGUUAGCAUGAAAAAGACUAGCAUCUUUGAUUAAAUUCUUGAGAAUGAAUUUUAUAGAUUUAUUACAUUAUUUGCAAAGUUUAAAGGUGCUUUGAUAAUUGGGAAAGUUGUACAAAAUCUUCUUGACAAGAAAUGAGUUUGAAGGCUUUGAGAAGCUUGUGAAUAUCUUUGAAUAUUAAAAGGUUUUGUGAAACUACUUGGAAAUGAAUUGUGUUUUGAAUUCAUGUAAUCUGUGAGCUCUUUAUGUUUUACCCUUGUAACAUGACGUGUGAUUACCUAGCUAGAUCCUAUAGUCUGUGUGACAUUAGUAUCUUAGCACCGGUCUUUGUGAUGGUUAUUGAGUUUCGUCUUUGUGACAGCGAUGAGUUCUGUCUUUGUAACGAUAUUGUCAUGUGGCCCUAGGUUGGAUUUUCAAGUUUUGAAACAGUGUUUUAUUAUUACUAAUAGUAUAUACGUUAUGUAGUUUCAUGUUGAGAUAUUUUAAGAAAUAUAAUUAUGUAGUUUCACAUUGAGAUAUUUCAAAAAAGCUUUGUGCUAUGUUGUUUCAAGCAUUCUUGUCAUGUCAUUACUAAUAUUGAAUUUUUAGAAAUCAAAUGGCAAUUCCAAAAGUAUAACAUGUUUUGUAAAAGGCUCAUUAUCAUAAGACUUGCAUUUCCUCCACCCUCAUUAAUUAUGCUACUUACUGGGCUUUAGCUCGUUCAACUCUCCAACGGUCUUAUAGAUAAAUUAGCUACACCUCAGGAAUGGAGCUUGUCUUGUUGGUGGUGGUGGUUUGGAGUUUUACGCUGAAUUGGAAGACUGACAUUAUUAUUUGUUGGUGUGUCGAUCUAGUUGUUUUUAAGGAAGUAGUAGUUAAUUCUAUUAGUGGUUGGACUCUCUUGAGGUUUGUUAGCCCAAGAAUUUUGUUGGAGUUGUAUAUUUUUGAGAACAUUGGUGUUUUAUGUUAAAUUGUUUGGUGUUUGGAAUAUUUAUGUAAAUUUUGGAGGCACGUGAUUUAUAGUU